GGUUAAGGGGAUCUGUUAGAGCAAUCGAAGCAGUGAACUUAAGCCCCAGUAAACGGCGGCCGUAACUAUAACGGUCCUAAGGUAGCGAAAUUCCUUGUCGGGUAAGUUCCGACCCGCACGAAAGGCGUAACGAUUUGGGCACUGUCCCAACAACAGACUCGGUGAAAUUGUAAUUCCGGUGAAGAUGCCGGAUACCUGCGACAGGACGGAAAGACCCCAUGGAGCUUUACUGUAGCUUGACAUUGGGUCUUGGUACUACAUGUACAGGAUAGGUGGGAGGCUUUGAAACCAGGACGCCAGUUUUGGCGGAGCCAUCCUUGGGAUACCACCCUUGUAGUACUGGGACUCUAACCAUAGGCCAUGAAUCUGGUCUUGGGACACUGUCAGGUGGGCAGUUUGACUGGGGCGGUCGCCUCCCAAAAGGUAACGGAGGCGCUCAAAGGUUCUCUCAGUACGGUCGGAAAUCGUACGUAGAGUGUAAAGGCAAAAGAGAGCUUGAUUGCAAGACAUACAGGUCGAGCAA
rnacentral:rRNA from 1 species